rnacentral:misc_RNA from 1 species
AAGUCGUAACAAGGUAACCGUAGGUGAACCUGCGGUUGGAUCAUUAAUGAAAAAAAGAGUUACUAUUCGGGGGUUAACUCAUGACACCACUGAUGGUUGGUAGGCCACUUCGGUGGAACUCGCUACUUCUCUGUCUGUCUGCUUUGAGUUUCCCCCGUUUUUAACCCUUUCCAACCUUGUGUGAAUUAUUCACUGUACUUUCGUGGUCUGAGCAUUUCUAUAUUUAUUUUUUGGAAAUGCGACUUAGCUGGUUUGGUAUCAGGUGGGUGGGUAUCCCCCCUUGUCCUCGUGCUUCAAACCCUAAAGCCGGACCACGUAAAAAUGAACUUUGUAUUGUACUGUGUUUUCACUUUGUAGGAAAAUGUAGGAAAAAUAACAACUUUUGACAACGGAUCUCUUGGCUCUC